AUUGAACGCUGGCGGCAGGCCUAACACAUGCAAGUCGAACGGUAACAGGAAGAAGCUUGCUUCUUUGCUGACGAGUGGCGGACGGGUGAGUAAUGUCUGGGAAACUGCCUGAUGGAGGGGGAUAACUACUGGAAACGGUAGCUAAUACCGCAUAACGUCGCAAGACCAAAGAGGGGGACCUUCGGGCCUCUUGCCAUCGGAUGUGCCCAGAUGGGAUUAGCUAGUAGGUGGGGUAACGGCUCACCUAGGCGACGAUCCCUAGCUGGUCUGAGAGGAUGACCAGCCACACUGGAACUGAGACACGGUCCAGACUCCUACGGGAAGCAGCAGUGGGGAAUAUUGCACAAUGGGCGCAAGCCUGAUGCAGCCAUGCCGCGUGUAUGAAGAAGGCCUUCGGGUUGUAAAGUACUUUCAGCGGGGAGGAAGGGAGUAAAGUUAAUACCUUUUCUCAUUGGCGUUACCCGCAGAAGGAGCACCGGCUAACUCCGUG
rnacentral:rRNA from 1 species